AGAAUCAACGCUGGCGGCGCGCCUCAGACAUGCAAGUCGAACGCGAAAGUCCCCUUCGGGGGACAAGUAGAGUGGCGCACGGGUGAGUAACACGUAGGUAAUCUACCUUCGGAUGGGGGAAUAACAACCGGAGACGGUUGCUAAUACCGCAUAAUGCAGCGGCACCUAAUGGUGACAGUUGUUAAAGCGGGGGAUCGAAAGACCUCGCGUCUGAAGAGGAGCCUGCGGCGGAUUAGCUAGUUGGUAGGGUAACGGCCUACCAAGGCGACGAUCCGUAGCCGGCCUGAGAGGGCGUCGGCCACGACUGACACUGACAUACGGGUCAGACUCCUACGGGAGGCAGCAGUCGGGAAUUUUGGGCAAUGGGACGAAAGCCUAGACCCAGCAACGCCGCCGUGAAGGAUGAAAUCCGUCGGAUGUAACUUACGACAAGAACGGAAGAAUAGGAGUACGGACAACGACCCCCGUAAC
rnacentral:rRNA from 1 species